rnacentral:pre_miRNA from 7 species
AGGGGCCCUCGUCUUACCCAGCAGUGUUUGGGUGCUGGUUGGGAGUCUCUAAUACUGCCGGGUAAUGAUGGAGGCCCCU